CCUCGGACGUUAGUUACAGGUCCCUCCAAUGGGCACGCGGCAGGCGCGGCGUUUGGCAGUUGGCGACGGCGCCUUUGCCGGACGAGGAAGGUCGAGCGUCCUUUUGGAGAGAGACGGUGUGGUGAGAGAAUGCCUCGUACACCAGCAGAACGUGCCAAGAGAUAUCGUGAUCGUCAGAAGAAUGACCCAGUGCUGAAAGCGCAGUAUUUAGAAAAAGAGCGGAAUUGCAAGAAAGCUACCUAUGCUCCAAUUGCAGAGAGACGCGAGCGGGAACAGAGAAAAAUAAGAAGAAUUUGGCGCACAAGUUCAAAGCAAUACCGUGCUCAUCACUGUGUCCAGCUUCCAGGCAGUCCACCAGUAACACCAGUGAUUUGAAAUGCUACAAAUCUGCCUCCACCAAUUCCACGACGACCAGUUGAUCAGAGGACCAAAAGAGGCUGUAUGAAGGUCAAGAGAGAUCUAGUCAAUAGACAACUAGAAGCCAUGAAGAAACAAUUAGAGGAACAAAAAAGACUGGCGGAGAGGUGGAAGACGAGAUACAACAGGGUGAAAGAACAGUUGCUUGACAGGAUGAAGGAUGAAUCAAUGCAGAUGGUAACUGGCUUCUUUAAACUAGAAGACGCCAGCCACUAAUGCCAGGCAUUAGACACGAUCACGAGAAACAAGAUAGAAGCAGAAACAGCUGUUAAAUGACCACUUGAGAGUUCUUCAUGCAAAGUUCCUGUGAGAAAAUGCAAUUGUGACAAUGCAUUGCUCUAUGUUCUAUAAGAUGAGGCCCUGGUGGGUAGUGAAACCAACAAUCAGCGACCUACUUGCAUGUGUAAGAGAUGUGCCAACAUGAACCUUAUGAAUAAGAAACUAGCUACGGAAAGAGUAACGACUACUGUUGAAUCAAUGAAGUUAACCAUUUGCCACGUCCAAAACAAAGCAUGUAUGUGUGUAUGGCUAGUGUGAAACAUGCCAGGGGGAACGAGUACAUUUCCAGCUGCCUGCAUGUCAAGGAAGUUGAAUAUCAGCAGUGGGUAACAAAGGAAAAGUGGUUUGGUGAUGGAAAAUCAACCAAUGUAACUGAAAGAGACUUUUAAACUUCCUCUCUCCAGUCCUCACUGUGGGAAAUAUGAAGCUGAGCUGAAACACCCCUAUACAACAUCGCUUCAACAUUUUCCAUAAGUAUGCAGAGCUUAGAAAGUUGAAGGCUAAUCUGGAUGGAAAGUCUGUUGUAGGGCACACCGACUUCUCUGAAAAUUAUGGCUGUAUCCUCAAAGGGUGAUGACUUUAUAGAGAUGGGCUGGAAGAUGUGUGUUAUAUGCCUGCAAAUUAUCCUGAUAAACAGGCCGGAAGCUUAAGAGUUGGUGCCUGAUUUCUUCAUAUGCUGUUGCCAUUGCCAACGAGACAGGCCACCACGUGAGCAACAUUUGAUAAACUGAUGUUGCUUGGAUGAUCUCCAAAAUUUGGUACAGCAAUUUUGAAGAAGGGCCCCGACCCGAAACAUCGCCUGAUCAUUCCUGUGUGUGACUUGCCGCGUUCUUCCAGUGUGUUUUGGUACAGCCAAUGAGUGGUUUGUUCAUAUGUCAUUAGGAGCAGAAUUGGGCCAUUCAGCCAGCCCAUCAAGCAUGGCUGAUCUACCAUUCCUCAACCCCAUUCUCCCGUCUUCUCCCCAUAACCCGUACUAAUCAAGAAUCUGUUAAACUGUUCAACAUGUUUGAUUUUUGUACUUGACAUUAAAGAAAAUCUGGUCUAAUUUACUGUU